rnacentral:lncRNA from 1 species
UACAUGUGUAAUCAGUUAACAUGUUAUACAGGUCAGUGAGGGUGGUAAAAUGCUAAAUACUGCUUAAAAUGAUCAAGGAAUGAUUAAAGGAAGUUGAGAACUUCUGUAUCACUGCUCAUGUUAUUUAUGCAAACAUGCAUACAGUUGUCCUUGCUUGAAAUCAAAGUCCCAAUAUAUAUAUAUAUAUUUUUAGUGACAAAACAUUGAUGAUUUUUCCAACCAAAGAUGCAGAAGUUAAUCAAUUCGGAUAUCAGAGACAAAACAUUAUACGGUCAGUGAAUGCUAAACCUCUCUGAAACACUAUUAAAAAUGUUGUUCUACAUGUCUAAUAAAAUAGCCAUUUGUGCACCAUGACAGAUAAAAAACAACCACAAUCAUUUUGAAAUUCCAUUAAAAUAAAAUGAUUAAACUUUUCAUAGACCUUGAAGAUUAAAAAAAAAAAAACCGGAAGACAAUAUACUGGCAAAUGUUCUAAUCUUUAUCAUUUACUAGUCCACUUGUUCCAUACUCAAUUUGUUUUAUAAAAUCAUAUGGGCACCCUAUUUCAGUGUUAAUAUUUUUUUUAGAGACUGAAAUUGCAUACAAUAUACUCUUGAUUUAUCAGUGAAUCAACAUCAUA